rfam:Ovis aries breed Texel chromosome 5, whole genome shotgun sequence.
UCCCUGGUGGCUCAGAGGGUAAAGCAUCUGCCUGCAAUGCAGGAGACCUGGGUUCGAUUCCUGUGUCAGGAA